UGGGUAACCUGCCUCAAAGAGGGGAAUAGCCUCCCGAAAGGGAGAUUAAUACCGCAUAAUAUGUUUAAGUCGCAUGACUUUAACAUCAAAGGAUUUUUCUUUUAAGAAAUUCCACUUUGAGAUGGACCCGCGGUGCAUUAGCUAGUUGGUGAGGUAACGGCUCACCAAGGCAACGAUGCGUAGCCGACCUGAGGAGGGUGAUCGGCCACAUUGGAACUGAGACACGGUCCAGACUCCGUAGGG
rnacentral:rRNA from 1 species